AAGGCGUGCAGGAAGCGAGCUAGCAUUUUCUACUUCCAACACCUGCAGCUGAUACAGAGUGGACACCAACUCCGGCAACACGAACUCGCUAGUACCUCCUGAAACUUGUAGGAUGCGAAGGUGCUUCAUUUCACUUAUAAACUUCGCCAAAUUUUCUAAAUUUAAUCCCAAAACCAGCAGCACGCGCAACUUUUUUAAGCUCUUGAAGGUGUCGGUGGUCGCAACAUUUUCGUCUGAGACGACGCUUUCUCCUUCCGUGACGAUUAGGGUGCGAAGUUUCUUCAGUUUGCAAAUUUCCUCCUUCUUCUCAUUCAGUUUGUCAGCCGGUAUGCACAGAUGGCGAAUAGUCGACGGGAUCUCGCUCUGACGAUUACCUUCUAUUCUAACACAAUCACUGCGAGUAACCUUUUCUGCUAGAUCAUACAGCAAUUCAUGCAACGUGUAGUAGAAGACAGGCUUACCUGUCCCAGAGGAGCGGCGGAAUCUGUUAUGACGCUGAAUGUAGAAUCUGGACACCAAAUCAUUCAGGUAACCGUCGCCUGCAUCCUCCACCCUCUCAUUCGGAUCGCCCGGCUUGAUAAAACCUUGCGCCAUCCAGAGCUGAACCAGUUCUAAAGCUUUGAACUUGUAGCCUCUAGGAUACAGGCGACAGUACGAGAAGCAACGCUGAAGAUGUGCCGGCAAAUGCCGAAAACUCCACAUCAGCGCUUUGGUUUUGUCGCCGGACCAGUCCUUGUCUGCGAUCGUUUCCAAAUAUGCAUGCAAAUUACCUUGCGAACGAAAGAGAUCGGCCAGCUUCGUAGCGAUCGUCUUGCCAACCAUCUUGGCCGCCGUAGGGUCCUUGUUCAACUUCGCAGCGAUUGUCUUGCAUUUCUCUUUUAAAUCUUCUCUUAAGUGAGAAUCGAAUUCCCCGCUAGGCAAUGCGUAUUGAAUGAAAAGAUCCGCAAAGUCAUUCUCUGCUAAAUCUUCCAAAUGACAAAUGUAUUCUACAACAGCAGCACCAUUAGCAGCAACAAUCUUUCUCGGCGCAUCGUCCGUUUGAGACGUAACUAAAAUCUUGCUCCCCGGCAAACAACAACAUUUGCUUAAACAUCUGAAUAGCAUAUCCCAAUUAUUUUCAUGGUCUUCUCCGUCGCACCAAACAUCAUCUAUCACGAGCAGGAACUUCUUCGCGUUCAGCUUUUUGUUCAUUUUCAGCUGUAGUGCUUCAGGCGUGUUGAGGUUGCCCACGACCAUCGUGUCGAGGUUAGAAAGAUGGGUAUGGAACGUUGCGGCGAUAUCAUCAGGGUUACCAAGAUCUUCUUGAGGCUCGCUUGCGAUAGAAGCUUGUUGUAUGAUGUCUUUCAUAAUUUCGGAUGCGUUGAAGUUGCAAGAUGCGUGGACCCACAUGAUGGGAUGAAAAUGUUGUCUGUCACCUAACUCGCUCCCCAGCUGCUCGCAAACGUACUGUGCGAGAGUAGUCUUCCCGACCCCCGGGCGACCGACUAUGGCAAUUAUAGGUACGCCUGCUGCAGGUUCUAUCUUCAAACGCCGAAUGAUUUCGUCACGAUCUUCAUCGCGGCCGAACACUUUCGGCGGAGGCAGCGAGAUGGUCUGCUUGCUAUCAGGCGCUGCUGCCGUCUGAUCGGGCUGGGCGCCUAACAAGGUGCGGAGUUUCUCGGCUUCGCCGGCGAUCUUUUCAAGCUUGUUCAGCCUUCGCUUCAGCUUGAUCUUUUGAGGCGACAGCAUGUCCCGGCCGCCUUUUAUCACCCAUUUCACAGGUUUUGGUAUGUGAAAAAAGGAAGAAGAAGAACGCACCGGAUUAGUCGGCCUCUUACCACUGCUUGCUGCCGCCGCCGCCGCCUUGCGUCUGAGGCGGUUGUAGUUGAGGAGGUCCAGCGAGUCCUCCGCGCCGUCGUAAGCGUCUUUCAGCCUCUGCAGCCAGCCCUCCACGUCGCUCCGGUGCGGGCUGCCUUCCGCUUUCUCGAUCACCGAUUUCAGCACCGGGAGGACGGUGGCCCUCAGCUUCUGCAGCUUCUUCUCCGCGUUGAUGCCUAAGCUGGCGAAGCCUUCGGCGAGCAGCUUCGCCACGAGGGGAGACGCCACCCAUCCCAGCGCCGCUAAUCCGAUCGCUUCUACUCCCGACAUUCUCGCGCCAGCAAGCUCAGAACAGACAGCUAGCUAGGUAGCUGCCGGCUGAGAAUUAACGGCACCAAACAAGCGUGGUGGAAGGCCGCGCCACAACAUGCUGCGCCAACUACCCUGGAACAAUGUCAUGAAUAACAAUUUGUUCACUCAAGAGGAGACGGUUGACCAUUUAUUCGUUCGCUGUGUUUUCUCAAGAUUUCUAAUGAUGAUGAGCUUUGAGAUCGACCGGCUGGGGGAUAGUGGGGAUGACGUGACCACGGUCUGGGACCGCUGGAUGACGAGGACGAGAUCACAGCAGCCAUGUACUACAAUAUCCGGAUUAAUACCUGCUGGUGGAUUGUCUAGAAGGUUAGAAAUGAUGUGAUAUUAAAGUAGAUUCAACCGGACCACCUCCAAGCUGGCCACGAGACUAAACAGUUAAAUAAAGUGUUGGGAUCAAGUUCUGUCUUGACCGAUUGUAGUGGGUAAUAAUUGACGAACCUCUUUUCUUUUCUUUUCUUUUUUUUUUUCGUCCCUUCUGAGGCCGUCGUUGUCUCACUCAUGUAGCUAAAUGUAUCAUUUCAAUAAAUGAAGCGGAUAGCGCGCUACCUAUUUCUCAAAAAAAAAAAAAAAAUUAUUUUUUUUUUUUUUUUUUUUUUUUGAGCAAUGCUCUUUGUAUGUGUCAGAAAGGGUGGUGUAUAUAUAUAUUGUGCACAUCUCAAUCCAGAGGUUUUGUCUUGUCAAUUUAUUUUUUAAAAUAUUAAAAAUUUAAAAAAUUUUGUGAAUCUUAUUUGAAAUGAUGAAAUAUAAAUCAUACAUCUUUCUUAAAGUGUACAUCUUACUAUAUGUACUCCCAAAAUAGACGUGUAAAUUUCAAUUACAGCUAAACCAUGCACCUAUAUCCAAGGAUCGAAAUAAUUUUUAUGAAAUUUUAGUAUUAAAAAAAUAAAAUUGUUAUAAAACUAGUGCGAUUAAAUUGAUCCGACCCUUGGAUGCAUUGGUCUUAUUACAUGAGACAAACAUAUAUACCAGGCAUCUAUUAGCAUGGACAAGAAGAGGUGCAACUUGCCAUUGUUUAGAACCUACUCAUGCAACUUGUCAUGCAUUGUUUAUAAUCUACUCAACUACCGUAAAAUAAUAAUGAUAUAAUAUAUAAAUAAGGGCGAUUUGCAUGGUCCUCAAACUAUGAGGCAUGUGACGCUUCGGUCCUCGAACUGUGCAUAUUGUUGAUGUAAAAGUAAUAUAAUGUCGUAAUUAUUGGCGCAUCAUUAGUCGUAAUACUGCUAUAUUACUUCUAUAUUAACAAUACGCAAAUUUUUAGUCAACCAAAUUAAGUUAUAAAUAAAGAAGAUGCAUUUUGAGUACAGGUGGUACUGGACAAGCUAACGGAAGGAUUCAAUUGCAAUAAUUCUAAAAGCUCGAAUAAGAAAUUAUAAUAAAUUAGAGUAUGAUGACCAAAACGUCACUCGACUUAUAGUUUGAGAACCAAACAUGCUAUUUACCCUGAUAAUAAUAUAAUAUAUAAUAAUUGACACAAUUAGGCCCUGGCCCUUAUCUCUCUCUAUAUGUACAUAUAACCUUUUCUUAUAAUUAAGAUAAAAUGUAUUGGCACAAGUCCGACAAAUAAUAUCAAUACUAAUCUAUACUUUCUUAUUGACUAGAGUCAGUGAACAUUGACAGUAAAUACUACCUUCUCUAGAUAGCAACUCUCUCAGAACUUUGUUCUGAAACCUGCUGGGUUAAGGCUUCUACUAAAUAUUGUUAGUGACCCAAAAUGUGUUUGGUUAAUGGGAUCAAAUCCAACCAAAAAUUAAGUUCAAGUUAAUAGUUGGAUAAACUUCUUUUAUUAUGUAUAUAUAUGUUAUAUAUAUAUAGCUUUCUAAUUUGUGUCUAAUAUCAGAUCUGUCUUAAACAGAAUCCACAUGGAUGAAUGUACCCCGUGAAUGAUUAUAACUCCAUGCGUGUGGGUAAUAUCUUGGGCUCAAACUGCUUUAUUUUGAGACAAGUCUCGUAUAAUCUUCGUGCUGAGUUACCCUGAUUAUAACUUAAUUUCUGUUCGUAAAUUAUGAGGAAUGCAUCAUUCAUCGGCAACAUAUGAGGCCCGUUUAAUCUGAUCAUGUUCACACCGUAAAUUGUAACCAAAAGCACAAGAGGUACUACAACAACAAAUUUUUUUUUUUAAUUUUUUUUUUUGAGAGAUAGGUAGCACGCUACCCGCUUCGUUUAUUUUAUUUAGAAAUAAACUUAGCUGCAAAUGUAAAUCAACUAGGAUUCAAACUUGGGUCUUGGAUACCAACCACCAAGCCUUUGCCACUUACUCUAGGAACGGUUGGUUACAACAUCAAAAUUAAAACACUCAAAUUCACAUACAAACACAACAUAAAUUUCAGGUUUACAGGGUCUUUAGUGUAAAAUUUCAGGUUUACAGGGUCUUUAGUUUACACCGUACUAAACAUAAUACGUUAAGAGAGAAAAGUAUGAAAACAUAUUAUAUUUUAAGACCACAAUGCACACCAUGCACAAAAUUAACCGAACCAAGUCUUCGACAACACCGACCGUCCCUAGAGCAAGUAGCAAAAGGUUUCAUGGUUGGUAUCCGAGGUUCCAAGUUCGAAUUCUAGUUGAUUCAUAUUUCCAGCUAACUUUAUUUCUCGAUGAAAUAAAAGAAGCGAGUAGCAUGCUACCUAUCUCUCAAAAAAAAAUGUCUUCGACAACAAAAUUAAAACACUCGCAUACUAAUAUGUUAAUAAUUCUAGGUCUACAGAGUCUUCUGCGCUGUACAAAACAUAAUACAUUUUAAACAAAAAAAAAGUGAAAUAUAAUACAUUUUAUGACCACAAUGCAAACCAUGCACACUCUUUUUUUUUUGCUUUUUUUCUUUUUUUUGGCUUUUUUUUUUUUUUUUUUUUUUUUUUUUUUUUUNAGAUGCCUGCAAAAAGAUUGCGAAACCAAUACAGAAUGAGAACACUAAAAAAUAAGCACAAUGAAAAUAAAGUGAUACAUAACGUUCAAAUAGAUUAGAAGGAUGCAAUUUGAAUUGCAAGAUCAUGAAUCUUAUCCUUUAAAUUAUGGGAUUUAUAGAAAAUUACAGCAAAAAAACUGAUAUAAAAUACUUUUUUACCACACUUUUGAAUCUGCAGGAAUUAAAAGUAAGGGAAGUAAUACAUCUGAAUCAUGUUGAUUUAGCAAUUAAGAUUCGAAAAGGACAAUGAUUAGAGAAUAGGACUGUAGGAUUGUAUCAUAACACCGAUAAGAUAAACCCCAAUCCUAGAACCAAAUUAUACUCAAGCACUUUAAUAAUGAUUCUACAUUUGAUGGCAUGAAAGAAAAAAAUUUGAAAGAGUAAUUCACAUAGAAGUGCAUGAUGAGUACAGAAGUGAAUGCAUCCACAUACUGCAGGGAUAAAUAAUAUUAUUAUCUUCAAUAGAUACAUAGAUGAGUGAUUAUAAAGUAUUUCAAUCUAAAACUAGGUCAGUUACAUCGUUUUUAAUUCUAAUCUCAAAACACAUAGGCAAGGUGUAGAAAAGUUUGAAGUACUUCAAGAUCUUCGCUGAUUCAUCAAGAGACUGAUUAACUUAUGCACUUUUAAUGAGUAAAAAAGAAUAAGAAGAUCAGGAAUUCAAAGUUUGCCAAUUUGUAAGAACGGGAAGGCGAUACGUACCUUUUUUCCACAUUACAGAGCAUGUUCGAAGCUAUCUUCUACAGGGAUGCCGUUGAGCAUACGCCUGCCCGUAAGGGGGUCAAUUUCUAUGGAUUCCUCUAAAAUCGGACAUCCGUGUAUUACUAAACUCUUGAGUGACCUGGGCAAAUUCAUCACUGCCUCCAGAUUCGAGCAGUUCUGCAGAAUGAGAUUUUCUAGAGAGUGCAGUUCCUUCAAAUCCACCGAGAAUGAGACGCCAGAACAAUCCAGGAUACUCAAGGAGUGGAGAGAUCGGAGGUUGCGAAACUGUAACGAUGCCGCUCGCGUACGACAUUGAGUAAUCGUAAGACGAGAUAGAUGUGGCAAAUUCGCAUUGGCUAGGAUUGCAUCUACAUCUGCACAAGACUCAAAACGGAUAUACCGCAACGAGGACGGCAGCACAGCAGUUUCAAUGUCCAAGCAGGGGCAUCUGAUUAGAAGGAGAUUUACGAGACGGGGGAGGGAUCUUAUACCACCCAGCGAAGUGAGAGCCCAGCAGUUGGUCAGACCUAAAGUUUGGAGUGAUUUUAGGUUGGCAAGGACGUCCGCAGACGGUAGACGGGUUAUCAUUUUGAGAUCUGCUAACAACAGCCGCAUAAGGGAGGGGAGGUUUUGUUGUAGGCAUACCGAGAAUGCGUGGUUGGUAAUGUUGCAUCCCUUCAGCCGGAGCCUAGUAAUGGUGGAGGGCAGAAGCAAUUUGGCCUCAUUUGGUCUGCUGUAAAUCAACUCCGUUUUUCGCUCGUGCAUCUCCAACCAUCUCUCCUGGACAGCUGUAAUAUCUGCAUCCGUGGCAGGCACACUCUUAUUAUGCCCUCGAGAGCUAGCUUCAUCACUGUCGGAGCCAUUCGUUGGGGCUAUGAGAUUCCUCAUUUCUCUUUCACUGUCGUCUAAAGACUGUUGAAAAUAUUUGUGUGGGAACCAUUUCGGCAUCCUUUCCCUCAUGACCUUUAUUAUGGAUCUUUUGUCGGCUGGGCUCAUCUGUAGGUCUUCCUUUGUUACAAAGGUGAGAAAUGGCGCACGAAUUAUUGUGAAUUCUUGAAGUCUCGGAGGAAGGGUGUGUAACGCUUCAAGUCUAGAAAGAUCCCAGAGCUCAAGUGAUCUGCAAUAAGGGUAAAGCUGGUCCAUAGGUGGGAGCUCUUCGAGCAUUCCACACCUCCUCAGCGCAAGUUCUUGAAUGUUGGAUGUUUGAUUUUCGGGCCAAGACGGCCACGACUGUCCUCGAUACCCGUCUAGAUGAAGGCCGGUAAGAUUGGGAGGCAAUUGGAGACCCUCAAGAAUUUUAACAUCCAAAUUAGAACUUACGUUGUCCUCGCCGUCGCGCCAUACCAACUGGAGUGAAUCAAGAUGCUUCUUUUCUUUCAAAUCGGCGGCAAUGGCGCUCUCCUCGCUCUCAACAUUCUCAAGAUUAUCAAUGCGCAGGUGUCCUCGAAGUUCGUUCAAGUUCUUUAGUUGCUCCAGUUCAUAUCCUUUUUCCUUUCUCACCUGAAAAUUCUCUAGGCCUUGCAAGGAAGUUAACUUGCUGAUCUCGGCUAUGACAGAAGGCCGUAGAUACCGCAAGCCGACCAAGUCGGUAAGGCGUGCAGGAAGCGAGCUAGCGUUUUCUACUUCCAACACCUGAAGCUGAUACAGAGUGGACACCAACUCCGGCAACACGAACUCGCUAGUGCCUCCCGAAACUUGCAGGAUCCGAAGGUGCUUCAUUUCGCUUAUAAACUUUGCCAAAUUUUCUAAAUUUAAUCCCAAAACCAGCAGCACGCGCAACUUUUUUAAGCUCUUGAAGAUGUCGGUCGCAACAUUUUCGUCUGAGACGACGCUUUCUCCUUUCGCGACGAUUAGGGUGCGAAGUUUCUUCAGUUUGCAAAUUUCCUCCUUCUUCUCAUUCAUUUUGUCAGCCGGUA
rnacentral:lncRNA from 1 species